GUGGAUUAGAUACCCUGGUAGUCCACGCUGUAAACGAUGAUCACUCGCUGUUUGCGAUAUACGGUAAGCGGCUGAGCGAAAGCAAUAAGUGAUCCACCUGGGGAGUACGAUCGCAAGGUUGAAACUCAAAGGAAUUGACGGGGGCCCGCACAAGCGGAGGAACAUGUGGUUUAAUUCGAUGAUACGCGAGGAACCUUACCUGGGCUUAAAUGGGGAGUGACAGCUGCUGAAAGGUGGCCUUCUUCGGACACUCUUCAAGGUGCUGCAUGGUCGUCGCCAACU
rnacentral:rRNA from 1 species